CUCUUCUGCUUCUUUGUUGUCAAUUCCUCUCUUCUACCUCCAACCCCUGGCAACCUAGUGGCUCAGUUUCUUGUCUCCAUGGUUCUGCCUUUUCCAGGAAGUCAUAUACAAGGAAUCACACAAUGUGUAGUCUUUUGAGUCUGGAUUUACUCACUCAGCAUAACGCAUUUGAGGUUCAUCCAUGUGGUGGAAGUGGGACAGCUGGAUGACCAUGACAUUGGACCUCCAGUAGUGCUCGUGAAGCGAUGCAUCUUGGAAAGGAGGAUCUGCCUGCGUUCCUGACAUCACCCUUGGGAUUUCUCCUCUGCUCUCCAGGCCUCUGGCUCUCCCUGCUGGUUCUGUGCUGGGUCACCUGCCACUGCUCAGCCUGCAUGCCCUGCAGAAGUUGGCUGGAGCCAGCUGGUGGUGACUUGCCAGAGACUCUGGUUAAAUAGGAAUUUUGCAAGCUGGUUGUUAAACCAUUGGUAGCUUGAAAUCAGCCUUGGUGGGAGUAUUUAUAACCCAGAAAUUGGCAAAUACUACAAAUCAAGUCUUGCCUCCAGCAGCUUACCAGUAGUCCACAGCUUACCUGCUCCUCUUAGUACCAAUGAAAACACCUACAUCACCUCGUUUUAAUAGCGACAAACUUGAGAAUUUUUGAUACAAAUAUUUACUAGGAAAAAAA
rnacentral:lncRNA from 1 species